GAUGAACGCUGGCGGCGUGCCUAACACAUGCAAGUCGAACGGUGAAGGCGGAGCUUGCUCUGCUGGAUGAGUGGCGAACGGGUGAGUAACACGUGAGCAAUCUGCCCCUGACUGGGGGAUAAGUGCUGGAAACGGCGUCUAAUACUGGAUACGAGCUGCGAAGGCAUCUUCAGCAGCUGAAAAGAACUUCGGUCAGGGAUGAGCUCGCGGCUUAUCAGCUUGUUGGUGAGGUAACGGGUAACCAAGGCGGCGACGGGUAGCCGGCCUGGGAGGGUGACCGGCCAAACUGGGGCUGGGACACGGCCCAAACUCCUACGGGGGGCAGGAGUGGGGAAUAUUGCACAAAGGGCGAAAGCCGGAAGCAGGAACGCCGCGUGGGAGGAGGCGGCCUUCGGGUUGUAAACCUCUUUUAGAAGGGAAGAAGCAAAAGGAAGGGUACCUGCAAAAAAGGCGCGGCCUACUUAGGU
rnacentral:rRNA from 1 species